UCUUGGGGAUUAGGUAGACUUGUUGGGGGAAUGAGAAGCUUGUUUCUGCUCCUCCUGAUAUCUACGGGACUGGGAACUGUGAAAGCAGAGAAGAAUAACAUGAAAAAAAAAACAUUUAUUAGGCAUGUUAAAAGGACAAUUGCACUUCCUGAUUUGGCCCGGUUUUGAAGAUUGCUCAUUAAGUAAUGAUGGCGGCCAUGACUGAAGCCAAACGAGAGUUGUCUUGGUGGUGUGGUUUGAUGUGGGUGUUGCCCCCGGGGGGAGGGGUGCAGGUGUAGUUGGACUGGCUACCAACCAUCUUGGCCGUGUAGUUAUGGAGACCGCCAGUGGAACGCCAGUAUACACGCAGUGUGUUGUUGGCCAUCCUGUACAGCUUCACGCCCGAUGGACAACAAGCACCUGGGAGGGAAAGAUAGUUCAGUAAGGCACAAGAGUGGCAACUGUGCAGGGCGCAAUGGUGAUGCAUCCCAUCAGGCAGUGGGUGUCCAGGGUGUGGCAGCGGGCGGUGCCUUUCGGUGAGGUCAGAGAGGUCAUGUAGGUGUGUGUGCCUCUCGCCAUCGACCAGGUGACAUUUGUCAUGGCCUGAGUCACCUGUUCAACGUUAAAGGUUGCCGGGCAACAGGGUGCUAGAGGACGAAUGGAAAGCACAAUUUUUCCAUGGUUCCCUACCUGUUUCCAGUGGAAUACUGUAGCUGGGAAAACUGUCGCCCACGGUGGUGGUUGCUAUGGCGCUGACCUCAUAGACCUCGCCACAGGGCAGGUCAAGUAUCUCACAGGACGUUCCUCUGGAAGUGCAGGUGUUUCUGUUGUCCUGGGCCACUACGCUCACUUUGUAGGUGGUACCUGCUCUGUUGGGAGUACUAAAGCUGACAUUGACACUGGUGGUGUUGAUCUGGGUCACAUUCAGGAUCUCUGGCAUACAGGGAGCUGAGAAAGAGAAAGUGAAGGAGAGAGGAAGUGGCAUGGGGAGGGUUAGCGUCACAGUGAUCUUUUACCUGUGGUUGUAAUGACACACAUCAUGUUUUCCCAUUCAUCCAAAUAAACUGGUGAUAUGAUUAGUUAGCAGACACUUCUAUGUGGCAAUUUUUCUUAAAGAUGUUUGUGUUACCUGUCUCCUUAGUGUGUGAUCUGCAGGUGUGGUUGCACCCUCUAAUCUCAUUACAGGGGAUCACCACCACACUGUAGGGGCUGUUACAGGUGAGGUCGGAGAGAGCGCACACUGGUGCCGUGUCGUUACACAGGAUGACCUCUGACCCUUCCACCGCCCGCGUCUCGUACACCUCAGCCCCGCGCACUGCUGACCACAUGAUCUCCAGGGUGCCGGGGGAGGCCAGGGAGAUGAACACGUCCUCGGGACAACAGGGUACUGGGGAUGGACAGAGAGAUAAAGGGAGAGAGUGGUGUAGUUGAGCACGGGGCCCGGUGGGCUGGAUCCAGCCAGGCUGAAGGCGAACACAGUCAUCAGGUGAUGAACUCCUCAGGAGCAGAAGGGAUGCUGGGUCCUCCCUCGUUGAUGGCUGUCACGGUGACGGUGUGUCUCUGGCCACACCCCACGGGGGCCAGGGUGCAGGUGCCGGUGGUAGAGGUACAGUUCAGCCCCUCUGAGCUGAAGGCCAGGUACUCCCCUGCCCCCUGAGAUGGAGCCCAGGACACAGACAGACCGGCCUCAGAGCCCACCAUCCUCACCUCCAACUCAGUGAGCACAGGGAUGCAUGGACCUGGAGGGAGGAGAGAGAAACAACAUGAGCACACACACAAUUAGACGGUGAAGUCGUCUCCCUGUCUUUUCUCGGGGUCCCAGGCAUUGCCCUUGAUGCAAUAGGUUGUCCCAGCCUCCAGGCCAGAGAAGGUCACGCUGGUGUCAGUGGUGUUGAGCUUCACCCUGCUGUCUGAGCCCUCCAUGAUGAUGCUAAUGGUGUACAGGAAAACGUGGUCCACAGGCUCCCACCCCACCACAAUGGUGUCAUUGCUGAGAGAGGUGGAGUUGAGCUUGGGCGCAGCAACCACUUUAGGAGAGAGACAGCAAUGAGACAUGUUAUGUAGAGUGUGUAUUUGUUUGUCUGUGUUGGGGGUGUUCAUGGUUUGCCUUUUAUUUGUGUGAUAUCAUUCAGAAAGCUCUAAAGUGUAUUUUCUGUUCUGUGGGAUCACUUUACAAUGUACUACUACAUGACUGAGAUUUGAGACGAUCAAAAUUCUCUCCCUCUCCUCUGCCUUCUAAAGAAGGUCAAACCACAACACAAUAGGAUGAAACUGCUGGUGGCUUGUUUUGGUACAUGAAGAUAUCCGAUAGACUGACUAACUCAGGUCCUAUUCCCAGGGUAACCAACACAGUGUUCUCAGUUGUCAACCCAGUUAGGUAAAUCUCUUUGUGUAUGGAGAGGGGUCAGAUAUAAUUACAGCGCAUACCUCCCUCCUCAGGGCAGCAAGAGCAUCUCACUAAUAGAGGAAAGUACCGGAUUUGCAAUACCUCAUCUGAAAUCAAGUUUUUAAGGUCAGACGGUGAAUGUGAAUGUGAGAUACAAGGGACAAUACCUGUCUUUGCUACCACAGGGAGGGAAGGCUGGCUCCUGCCUCCGCUGUUGAUGGACAUGACACUGAGAGUGUAGUCGGUGUAGGCCUGAAGGUUGAGCACGGUCCCAGGGGAAGAGGACACCUCGGUUUCGUAGAAGAAGGCCAUGUCGGCGGUCUCGGCACGCAGGAUGUAGGAAGUGGCCCCGGACACCUGAGUGAACUCCACGGUCAUGCUCUCACUCUGUUUUGAUGUUGCCAUGUUGAUGGUGGGCACCUCAGAAGCUACAGUAGGAAAAAAAACAAGAAGAGGGAAUUGUUGAAACUCACGUAAGGAGAUGGAAAUGUAAGGAUUGUAACCAGUUACACCACAAUAAUCAUACCUGGUUUUAUUUUUCACUAUAAGCCCACUGUUAUAAUAUACUUUAUAUUUCUUAUGAGAGGUUGUCCCUUAACAUUGCUCUAAAUACAGAUUUUAUAUAUUCCCUUAUAGCUCUGAUGAGAGAGAAAAACAGAACUGGCCCUGGAGCGGUGAUUAAUGACAGAAUAUUACGAGAUCACAACAUAAUGUAUAGCCUAUUGUUUCACCAUCAUCUCCUUAGGGUCACAUAGGAGACAUAGGAGACACUGAUUUUACCGGUGGUCUCUUCUACUUCAGCCUGGCUCAAAACAUUCAGGCUGUUAUCCAUGGCCUCAGCCCUGAUGAUGUACAUGUUGUUGGGGGUUAGAGAGUUGAUGGAGCCCAUCACAGAGUUGGCACCGAACUGGGCGAAGGCUGAGGCAUCCAGGGAGUUCUUGGAGGUUGCUGUGAUCUUGUAGGAACUGGCUCCUGAGCAUCUGCUCCACUGCACUGUCAUACUCUUAGAUGUUACGGUGAAUAUCGACACUGUGAUUUCUAUAUGAGGAGAGAGAUAGAAUCACUGUCAAAUGCUGGGUUCAUGUCUGGAUCAAAUUAGAAAAUAUUAUAGCACUACUAUUGCAUACAUGUAUUACAAUUACAUGAUCAUUCUAGUGUAAUAAUCAGGAUUAUUUUAAUCCACUUUCAUCCGACCAUCAUUUUCUGCAGUUGAAAAAAUUGUUUAGGAAUGUACAUGUAUUGUGACAAAAAUAUAAAUGUUUUACCUGAUGAAGCUGAACUCUGGAAGUAAAAACAGAAAAGGAAGUAAAAACCGUAAGAAAUAUAUAUAUAUAAUACUUUUAAGGGAAUGUAAAACAAAUUAUAUUACACAAUGUUCAUACCAGAAGUUUUAUGAAAUUCAAGCAAUCACUUUCCUGGAAUGAAUGUUCCCUACUCAAGGUUAAUCUUACAGUACACCUGAUGACAGGUAUGCCAGUCAAUAAGGCAGUGUUCCCUCUAGAUAGCUCAUUCCUCAUUCCUCAUUCAUGUUCUUUGAUGUUAUUGCAAUAGUAAUGUAUUUGAAAUAUAUGCUAUGUCCUACACAAAUAGCACAGGUAUAAAGCUUCACAGUAAAAAAUUAAAAGUCUUCCUUCUUACCUGAGAGCCUAUGCCUAUCAAGGCGAAAAUCACCAUCCAAUUAAUAAAUCCCAUUCUGUUUUUUUCUUCUUGA